rnacentral:lncRNA from 1 species
UUUUUGUUUUUUUUUUAAUUUUCUUAAAUAAAUAGCAAAGUGCCACCAAAAUGAAUGAAAUGCCAGCACCAUUGUGUUGAUAGAAAUUUCCAUACUAGGAUGAACACACAGUCAUAUUCUGUAACAGUGCACAAAAAGAGACUUUGGAGGAAAGGUGGUGGCUGCUGGUGCAUCAACCCAUGAGUGGUCCGUGCAGUGGCAUCGGGAUGUGGUGCCUGUGCAAAGUCUCACAGGCCUGGAGCCCCUGCCUGCAGAGGUGGCCGCAGUGAGACUCUGCAAGAGAGCAGCUCGCAGGACAUGUAACGCAGAAUGUGGAAUUACUGCCUGCUGCCAAGGGACACGCAGCCGAUGCUAACCCAAGGGGCUGGCCAUGUCACUCUCUAGACAGAAGAACAACAGCUUGAAAUGAGGGAAAUGAGGAACCUUAAAGCCAAACAAGCUAACUAACACUCAGCAAGGCAAGGGCUUAGAGAGUCAAAGCUGCCAACUCCUUGAUCAAGAGGGAAUGAUGCAAGGAUUCACUGUGACACUGAAGGUUACAGAACCAGGUGUCAUUUUUGGAUGGGUUUCCCUGGGCUCAGCUGGUGUUAUUUUCAUGUCUGACCAACAGUUUCUCUUCCAACUGGGGCAGUGCUGAAGGAACAGCAGCCAUGUGCACCACACCACAAGGUCCCUCAACAGCCUCUGCUGCCUUAAACUCACUCCAUCCUGUGCAGGCAGCUCCGCCUGCCCACUGCCUUGCCCCUCUACAUGCUGGAGUGCAGUGCCAUCCCACCUCUCUGCUUCUGUUGGCUUAAACCAGACCCUUGUUAUUUUAAACAGGAGUUUAUUGUAUUUAAUACAUUAUAAAAUUUGAAAAAAUUGUAGGAAAGCAGCAGAUUCAAACCAGAGCAUCUCUACCAAAUAUUAAUUAUUCUGGCCCCCUUUGAAAAACACAAAACAAAACAACAAAAAAACUCAUUCAAAAGAAAAGUUAACCUUUCACAUCUGUGAGGGCUGACAAAAAGUGUGCGACUUCUGUACAAACUACAUUUAAAAUUUCAGCUUUCCAAUGCAAUGGAUGGUUGUCUCCUGAACACCUGCCCAUCCACCUCUAAAAAAGACAGACAUAAACUUCCAUAUGCAAAUAAAGUUGAGUCAAGGUGUGUACACAUUAAAAAGUGGAUGGCUGUUUGGUAAUGAAAAUGGGUGAAGAACAGUCCAUGAAUCCCCCCCAGCAAUGGCUUGUUCACCGUUAAGUGGGCCCGGGAAGGGCCUAGGACACUUAAUGGCCAUCACAGCACCAACCUCAUCUACCACAUUUUGUCAUUGCAUUUCCUACCCUUUGACAUAUACAUACAUAUAUAUAUGUACAGACAUACAUAUACAU